ensembl:lincRNA
CUGUCUCCUGGCUGGGAUGGAGGAUGGAGGAUGGAGGGAAAGUGGAGGAAGGAUUUGAGAGCCUCUGCUUCCAUGGACAAACUCAUGCAAAGUGAGGGGAGCUGUGGUGAAAAGAGGUGCCAAAAGGGAAGUGAAUAGGGUGCCCAGGUGCAAAUGGUCACUGGAAUAUGCAUGUGGACUUUGUGUGGUUAAGAAACUACAUACGCACAGUGGAGUAGUUACUGGGCCAGAGAGCUGAAGUUAACAAAGGAAGAGAUCAUUUCUGCCCCAACCCCUUUGGGCAACAGCACAGUUUCCCAAACUUAAACUAUUAGAAUACA